rnacentral:lncRNA from 1 species
GUGGUGGGAUAAAUAAACUCAUUUUAAUUUUUUUCCAUCAUCUAUAAACAGAAAAUUUGACCUUUCUUUUAACUUUUAAUAAAUCUGCUAGUUAGGUUCGAACAUGUCCAUUUAGAUUUAUGUCCUCGACUUGGCAUGAGUGCUCAUAUUUUUUUGAAUUUAUUUCAGAAUUUAUCGGCGCUAUGCUCUGGUUUCUUGAGAAAAACGCCGGCGUCAUCUCCGUCUACAGUGAUGCGCAUGUGUUACUUUCGUAAAUCUCGUGAUCUGUCGGCUCAGUUAUCUGAAGAUGCUUAUAAAGGUAGAAUUUAUAUACAUAUAUUCAUAAGGGUAAGUGUUCGUGUGUUGUGAGUGCCUGCUUUGUACUUGUAAUUUAAAAAAACGUUUGUCCUACACGGUGCCAUAUCAGUCGUGUAGGGACUAAUCAGACUAUUAGAAAGCUAUAUCCAAAUAUUGUUUCAGUGUAAAUGAAGCAAUUAAAUAUCGUAUACAAUCCAAAUCUUACAAACUUUGUGCCCCCCCUCCUCAGCACCACCACACACACACCUCAAGAAAAAAAAAUUGAAAAUCAGUUUUAGCUUAUCUUCGGGUGCACAACUUGGAGAUAUUUGAAUAUUGUAUGGUCUUUUUUUUUACUUUUUUUUGCGGUGUUUGGAUUGUGGGUAUCAUGAUAUGGUUUAGGAUAGGGAUAUAAGCUUAUCGGUUUCCGUUGUUUCUAUCCCACUACUAGGGCUAGAGUGUGAGCAUUAAAUCUCUACAGCUAAAAAGAUAAAUGGAUCUGUCUGUCUGACUGUGGUGAAACCUUCCACACAAUUUUGGAAACCGCAAUCACAUGCAUUCCCUCCACGGAACCCCAGAUUUUCUCAAGAAAAUAAACACAAGGCAAUAAUGGACCCAAGAAUCAUGUAUAAUCGAUAAGAAAAAAUGGAAGACCAAGGACCGGACAAUCACGUAUAUUGACGUUCCGCACGAACCCUCCCUAGAGUCCGGUUUUUCUCAAGCAAGCUCUGGUUUUUUACGGGAGAGACAAUUUGAGGAGGAAAACCAACUAUCC